rnacentral:rRNA from 1 species
GGCGGCAUGCCUAAUACAUGCAAGUCGAGCGAACAGAUGAAGUGCUUGCACUUCUGACGUUAGCGGCGAACGGGUGAGUAACACGUAAGGAAUCUACCUAUAAGCGGGGGAUAACAUUCGGAAACGGGUGCUAAUACCGCAUAAUAUCUUCUUCCGCAUGGAAGAAGAUUGAAAGACGGCUCUGCUGUCACUUAUAGAUGACCUUGCGGUGCAUUAGUUAGUUGGUGGGGUAAUGGCCUACCAAGACGAUGAUGCAUAGCCGACCUGAGAGGGUGAUCGGCCACAUUGGGACUGAGACACGGCCCAAACUCCUACGGGAGGCAGCAGUAGGGAAUCUUCCGCAAUGGGCGAAAGCCUGACGGAGCAAUGCCGCGUGAGUGAAGAAGGCCUUCGGGUCGUAAAACUCUGUUAUAAGAGAAGAACAAAUUGUAGAGUAACUGCUACAGUCUUGACGGUAUCUUAUCAGAAAGCCACGGCUAACUACGUGCCAGCAGCCGCGGUAAUACGUAGGUGGCAAGCGUUGUCCGGAUUUAUUGGGCGUAAAGGGAGCGCAGGUGGUUUCUUAAGUCUGAUGUGAAAGCCCACGGCUUAACCGUGGAGGGUCAUUGGAAACUGGGAAACUUGAGUACAGAAGAGGAAUGUGGAACUCCAUGUGUAGCGGUGGAAUGCGUAGAUAUAUGGAAGAACACCAGUGGCGAAGGCGACAUUCUGGUCUGUUACUGACACUGAGGCUCGAAAGCGUGGGGAGCAAACAGGAUUAGAUACCCUGGUAGUCCACGCCGUAAACGAUGAGUGCUAGGUGUUGGAGGGUUUCCGCCCUUCAGUGCCGCAGUUAACGCAUUAAGCA